GGUCCGACCAAAUAUACAGCUUUUUUACUUAUUCUCCUUCCCCUCCUCUAAACCCCCUUCCACUGCCUCUUAAAUUUUUAUUUUAUUUAUUAGCGUUUUUUAUCUCCAGUAGAUUAGUGUAAUUAGUUCGAUGUGCAAACCUACGUACGUGAGAUCGUUUGCAAUAGUUUUCUCAUCUUUCCACACACACACACACCCAAACACACAUACAUUGCACUAGACACACAUACGCCGACGCAUACAGGCGCAAUUCAAAGUUAUUCAGCAGCUACAGAUGAUAUGUGAACAUUUUGUUGUUAAUAAUUCAAUUGUUAUUUGUUUUUCUUUCGACUUAAUACGAAAUGUUUUGGUGUUGUUGUUGCUGGUGUUUUAAUUUUCGUGACAUUUUAUUCGAGUUACAGCAACAUUUUUGUUUUGCCACAGUCCUAGAAUGAGAGUGGAUCUCCCCUCUCCCUCUCCCAUAUAACGGCGGUGGCGGCGAUGAUGAUCACCAUCAGCAUCACUGUUGCUGUUCAUGUUGUUGUUGCUGUUGUCGCUGUAUUAUGAAAAUUAAUUGUCGCCGCUGAACCUACCAACCCAGCGCAACCGUCGAACAUUCGUUUCAGUUUCAUCGCAGAAGUUUUAGAUUGAAGACGAACUCGAACGGAAAUUAAUAUUUAAGCAAAACUAAACUAAAAUUGAUUAACAACAAUUAGAAUAAAUAACAAUAACAACAACAACUACAACUACACAAAAAAGACAUACUUCAGUCACUUCAGCAUCACAAAAUGCCUCGGAUCAUGCCAAAAUUGAACGUGUGACGUCGUUUUGUCAAUUUUUCCCUCUUUUUUUGUUGUCGUUCCGCUUCUUUUCGAUUACGUCGCAUUUAAUUUUCACCAUUUCACAUUUUCGCCAACAUUUCAUAUCAUUUCGCCUCUUUUAGUCAUUUUUAAGAGAUAAAAGCAAAAAAAAAAAAAAAAAACAGAAGAAAA